UACGUAGGGUGCAAGCGUUAGUCGGAAUUACUGGGCGUAAAGCGUGCGUAGGUGGUUUCUUAAGUCCGUUGUGAAAGCCCUGGGCUCAACCUGGGAACUGCAGUGGAUACUGAGAGGCUAGAGUGUGUCAGAGGAUGGUGGAAUUCCCGGUGUAGCGGUGAAAUGCGUAGAGAUCGGGAGGAACAUCAGUGGCGAAGGCGGCCAUCUGGGACAACACUGACGCUGAGGCACGAAAGCGUGGGGAGCAAACAGG
rnacentral:rRNA from 1 species